rnacentral:rRNA from 1 species
GACGAACGCUGGCGGCGUGCCUAAUACAUGCAAGUAGAACGCUGAAGAGAGGAGCUUGCUCUUCUUGGAUGAGUUGCGAACGGGUGAGUAACGCGUAGGUAACCUGCCUUGUAGCGGGGGAUAACUAUUGGAAACGAUAGCUAAUACCGCAUAACAAUGGAUGACACAUGUCAUUUAUUUGAAAGGGGCAAUUGCUCCACUACAAGAUGGACCUGCGUUGUAUUAGCUAGUAGGUGAGGUAACGGCUCACCUAGGCGACGAUACAUAGCCGACCUGGGAGGGUGGUCGGCCACACUGGGACUGAGACACGGCCCAGACUCCUACGGGAGGCAGCAGUAGGGAAUCUUCGGCAAUGGGGGCAACCCUGACCGAGCAACGCCGCGGGAGUGAAGAAGGGUUUCGGAUCGUAAAGCUCUGUUGUAAGUCAAGAACGAGUGUGAGAGUGGAAAGUUCACACUGUGACGGUAGCUUACCAGAAAGGGACGGCUAACUACGUG